rnacentral:rRNA from 1 species
UACGUAGGGGGCAAGCGUUGUCCGGAAUCAUUGGGCGUAAAGAGCGUGUAGGCGGCCAGAUAAGUCCGCUGUGAAAACUCGAGGCUCAACUUCGAGCUGUCGGUGGAAACUAUUUGGCUAGAGUCCGGAAGAGGAGAGUGGAAUUCCUGGUGUAGCGGUGAAAUGCGCAGAUAUCAGGAAGAACACCCGUGGCGAAGGCGGCUCUCUGGUACGGAACUGACGCUGAGACGCGAAAGCGUGGGGAGCGAGCAGG